rnacentral:lncRNA from 1 species
GCAAUGCCACAAUGCCUUUUUUUCCCCUUAAAGUAGAAGGAAACAUAUUUACAAAAGGCGAACUGAUAACUACAAAAUUCAGCAUGAAAGUAGACAAUCCAUCAAUCCAUUUAUCAAAUGACUAGGUGUGAUUCUCAUUUUAAAGCAGUUGAAGCAGUAAUAAAUUUUGCACUAAGGAUACUAAUCCAUCUCUAUAGAACUUUAAUAAAUAAACAGCAAAUGAUCAGAUAGUCUUUGCACAGUAUUUGAAUUUGUAUUUUGUCUCAUUCUGCUGAAAACAUAAAUAACUUUAUUUUUUAUUAUAGAAGUAACUGCCAUGCCAAAGUAUGAAUUUGUCAACUCAUUUGUUAUUCCUUGAAAGAAACAAAGACUGUCACACCAAUGAAGGUACAGUGUCAGUUGGGGAACAGUCUGUUCAACAGUUUGGAAUCCUGACAGCCCUGGGAGAAUUCCAAGUCUCAUACCCUAUAAAUGAUUCCAUGCAUAAGUUUUUUUCUCCUUUGCUACACCACUGUGUAACCUAGCUAUGUGACUGACCCCUGUUUGUUAACAACUCCCAAUCUCUAAGCCAUUUCCUUCUCUACUUUUCCUUGCUUUUACUAAAAAGAAGGUAUAAGCAUGUUUUUCAAAAUUUGUUUCCUAAAGGUUUGCUAUUCUUUUAUACUUCAUCUCUUGAAGCUUGUUAAUAAUAAUAAUCAAAAUUGAUAUAGUGCUUCAAUAUUUGCAUAGUACAUAACUAUCUGCAAUCAACAUUUAUUAAGAGCCUACUAUUAGACAGGACUGAUGCUAAGUCCUGGGGGUAAAAAAAUGAAGUAAAAAAGAGACCUUGCCCUCAAGGAAUUUGUAUAAAUAGCAAUUUUUUACCUUUGAACUACAUCUCCCAGCAUCCCUUUCCUCUUUCAUACCCACCUUGCAUGCUUACAUAUUGUAUAAGUUGUGUGUAACUCCGCCUCUCACUCUCUUCUCCUGUGUGCAUGGUCUGGGAAAGCCUCUCUUUACUGAAGGUGUUUUUUCCUUCCUCUACUUCAAGUGAUUAUUAAUAAAUCUUAUAAAACAUAAUACUGGUAAUAUUGG